AGAUAAUUUUCGCCACUCUACUAGCAUCCCUUUAAGUUGUCCUGCCACAGUUUUUGUCACCAACGAUGACGUUCCUUCUUCAGUUUUGACUUCGAUCCAUCCUUCUGCAUUACGCUUCUGCAAAAAUUACUUACCACAGCAUUUCGUAUGUACCAUGUAAAGAUUUUUAUUAUUAAUUCUUUAUUUUUAGGUGUACCAUUCCUAGCAAAACCUAUUAUAAGGGAGAGGGGUUUUAGUUGGUAGGUCCUCCUGUGAGGGAAUCCAACACUACCCAGUCGUACGGACGGCUGGGUGUCUUUCGAAGAUUUCCCCUCUUCCACGAAAAAAAAAAAAAAAAAAACUAAACAACGAUCUAAUGACUUUUAUUGCUGGUGUUCUCAGAUGGGCGGAAUAGCCAUUUAUUUCCACUACCCACUCGCUGGUAUUAAGUAAUUUGGAAUUGUUUACAACCCCUUUUCUUCAAUAUUGUUUCAGUGUUCGGCAUCAAUUUCUAUCUGAACACGUAAGUUGCUACAACUAUUUUUUACCUUCAUUAUUAAUUAUCUUGUGUUCAAAAUGUUAAUUGUACAUUAUUGAAAGGUUUUAGUUAAAAAUUGUUAAACUGUAUUACUGUUUCUUCUGUUUUGUGGCCUUUUCUAUUUCCUCAAUUGUCUCUUCAAAUUACAUAAAAUAUUUUAUUUUGUACAAGUGUAUUUGUUAACAUUCAAUAAAUUUUUUUUACUAUU
rnacentral:lncRNA from 1 species